AUUGAACACACCAUGUAAACAUUCACAGUGCAGGCGGAAAAAGUAUGUGAACCCUUGAAUUUAAUAACUGGUUGAACCUCCUUUGGCAGCAAUAACUUCAACCAAACGUUUCCUGUAGUUGCAGAUCAGACGUGCACAACGGUCAGGAGUAAUUCUUGACCAUUCCUCUUUACAGAACUGUUUCAGUUCAGUAAUAUUCUUGGGAUGUCUGGUGUGAAU